rnacentral:lncRNA from 1 species
UGAAAGGGAGCCCUUGCUUCCCUGGAAGACAUUUCGUCCGAGCAAUCCCUCUCCAGGUCCAUGUGACCAUUCCUACUCUGAGCCAGUUUUGGAAAGAAAGGGAAGACAUUCUUCCAAGUAUCAAGAAAGUGAGCCCUUGCUUCCCUAGAAGACAUUUCGUUCCAGCAAUCCCUCUCCAGUUCCAUGUGACCAUUCCUACUCUGAGCCAGUAUUGGAAAGAAAGUCAUCUCACAACCUUGGAAGGCAGAGAAUCACAGAUAAUCAGGGAAGACAUUCUUCCAAGUAUCAAGAAAGGGAGCCCUUCCUUCCCUAGAAGACAUUUCGUUCCAGCAAUCCCUCUCCAGUUCCAUGUGACCAUUCCUACUCUGAGCCAGUUUUGGAAAGCCACCUUGGAAGGCAGAGAAACACAGAUAAUCAGGGAAGACAUUCUUCCAAGUAUCAAGAAAGGGAGCCCUUCCUUCCCUAGAAGACAUUUCGUUCCAGCAAUCCCUCUCCAGUUCCAUGUGACCAUUCCUACUCUGAGCCAGUUUUGGAAAUUAUGUCACAAGCCACCUUGGAAGGCAGAGAAACACAGAUAAUCAGGGAAGACAAUCUUCCAAGUAUCAAGAAAGGGAGCCCUUGCUUCCCUGGAGGACAUUUCGUCCCAGCAAUCCCUCUCCAGUUCCAUGUGACCAUUCCUACUCUAAGCCAGUUUUGGAAAGGAAGUCAUCUCACAUGCCACCUUGGAAGGCAGAGAAACACAGAUAAUCAGGGAAGACAUUCUUCCAAAUAUCAAGAAAGGGAGCCCUUGCUUCCCUGGAAGACAUUUCCUCCAGCAAUCCCUCUCCAGUUCCAUGUGACCAUUCCUACUCUGAGCCAGUUUUGGAAAGGAAGUCAUCUCACAUGCCACCUUGGAAGGCAGAGAAACACAGAUAAUCAGGGAAGACAUUCUUCCAAGUAUCAAGAAAGGGAGCCCUUGCUUCCCUGGAGGACCUUUCCUCCCAGCAAUCCCUCUCCAGUUCCAUGUGACCAUUCCUACUCUGAGCCAGUUUUGGAAAGGAAGUCAUCUCACAUGCCACAUUGGAAGGCAGAGAAACACAGAUAAUCAGGGAAGACAUUCUUCCAAGUAUCAAGAAAGGGAGCCCUUGCUUCCCUGGAAGACAUUUCCUCCCAGCAAUCCCUCUCCAGUUCCAUGUGACCAUGCCUACUCUGAGCCAGUUUUGGAAAGGAAGUCAUCUCACAUGCCACCUUGGGAGGCAGAGAAACACAGAUAAUCAGGGAAGACAUUCUUGCAGGUAUCAAGAAAGGGAGCCCUUGCUUCCCUGGAAGACAUUUCGUCCUAGCAAUCCCUCUCCAGUUUCAUAUGACCAUUCCUACUCUGAGCCAGUUUUGGAAAGGAGGGUUUCCAAAGUGCCUUUCCACGCUAGAACCCAGGUUGUGGUCUGCUGGCCGGACACAACAAUUGGCAAACCAACGCGGGACUGAGAAACGGCAAAGGAUUUUUGGAAGAGACGCUGCUGGUUCGGAGCUCCAUAAAAUAAAGGAUAAAGGAAAUUCAUACCGGAGAAG